UACAGAGGGUGCAAGCGUUGUUCGGAAUUAUUGGGCGUAAAGGGCGCGUAGGCGGUGCGGUAAGUCUGUAGUGAAAUCUCUGGGCUCAACUCAGAGUCUGCUGCAGAAACUGCCGUGCUUGAGUGUGGGAGAGGUGAGUGGAAUUCCCGGUGUAGCGGUGAAAUGCGUAGACAUCGGGAGGAACACCGGUGGCGAAAGCGGCUCACUGGACCACGACUGACGCUGAGGCACGAAAGCUAGGGGAGCAAACAGG
rnacentral:rRNA from 1 species